AUUGAACGCUGGCGGCAUGCUUUACACGUGCAAGUCGAACGGUAACAGCACUUCGGUGGCUGACGAGUGGCGAACGGGUGAGUAAUACAUCGGAACGUGCCUAGUAGUGGGGGAUAACUACUCGAAAGAGUAGCUAAUACCGCAUGAGAUCUAAGGAUGAAAGCAGGGGACCUUCGGGCCUUGCGCUACUAGAGCGGCUGAUGGCAGAUUAGGAAGUUGGUGGGAUAAAAGCUUACCAAGCCGACGAUCUGUAGCUGGUCUGAGAGGACGACCAGCCACACUGGGACUGAGACACGGCCCAGACUCCUACGGGAGGCAGCAGUGGGGAAUUUUGGACAAUGGGCGCAAGCCUGAUCCAGCAAUGCCGCGUGCAGGAUGAAGGCCUUCGGGUUGUAAACUGCUUUUGUACGGAACGAAAAGCCCUCUUCUAAUACAGGAGGGUCAUGACGGUACCGUAAGAAUAAGCACCGGCUAACUACGUG
rnacentral:rRNA from 1 species